rnacentral:lncRNA from 1 species
UGAUACAUAUCUUUUAUGAACUUUGAGGAGCAAAUCAUAGGUGUUAAUCCUAUGAGUUGUUCCUCUUAACUUUGUAGAGUUUAAGAGAAUAAUCUAAAGUUAGAGAGUCUUUCCUUUAACUUUGGUGUUAAUCCUCUUUAAUUAGCCUCCCAAGCAUGAUCUAAUCUAUAAAUCAUAGCCUUGUGGAGUUUAAAAGAAUGCAAAUAAGAGAAUGAGAGAAAUAUGUGGUGAGAAAGAGAUUGGGAGAGCAGAUGAGUUAGAGAGAUUGAAAGGGGAGAGAAUGAAGGGGUGGAAAGGGUUUAAAAACCUUUUCUAUUGAUUCAAACGAUCAAAUGAACCAUUUGAAUCAAAUCAAUCCUGGCCUUUGAUUGUAUCGAUCGAAAUCCGACCUUUCUGACCGGUACAAACCCUGUAUUGGGCGAUACAGGGUCAUAUAAUAAAGACCACCCGAUACAAGGUGGUUCACAUACCGAUCCCCUAUCGGAUAGGUACGUACCGCCCGUACCAAGCGGUAUACUGUGGCAUGGUAGACCUUGGCUUAGCGUACCUAGCCAAGAAGAAUGGGCCAAUUCGAAGUAGGUAAGAAUAAGGAGACAUAGGUAGUACCAUAGACCGGUACAAACCUUGUAUCGGGCGAUACAUGGUCAUAUAAUACAGACCACCUGAUACAAGAUGGUUCACAUACUGGUCCCCUAUCGGAUAGGUAUAUACCGCCCGUACCAAGCGGUAUACUGUGGCACAGUAGACCUUGGCUUAGAGUACCUAGCCAAGAAGAAUGGGCCAAUUCGAAGUAGGUAAGAGUAAGGAGACAUAGGUAGUACCAUAGUAGUUGUACAGAAUGCUACAUAAGCCCUCAAUUGAUGGUGUCUAUGGUUCUUCAUAGAGGCAAAUGGAGGAGGGAUAUGUGGUUUCUUAGUAGGAAUCAGAGACAUGGAAUAUAUUGUUUGACUAGCGCCACUAGUCAUAGUUUGGUACUUUGAUUUUAUAUGUUUUACAUUAUAAUUGCUUGAAGGAGUUCUGGACUUAUUUUGAUGAAGUUUAAAAUUACAACAGCCGAAGAUUGCUCGAUUAUAAAAAAAUGAAUGAAAGAAAAAAAGUGG